GAUCAGAUUGCCAGGGUGGGGAAUUUGUUUCUUCUGCCUACCCUGCCCACUGGAUAGACACCAGGAUUCCUGGUCUUUACUGCAGGAACCAACACUUUUGUAUUCAGUUUAUAGUUUAGCUAUUAAAACAAACAGACAAAACCACAGAGGUUACGGUAAAUGUACUAUUGUGGGGAAAACAUAGACUUCGGAGCCAGUAAGCCCCAGAGUCAGAUUUUGGUUCAGCAAUUUAAGAACCAUGUGGCCAUGGCCAAGUUGCUUAACUUCUCAGAGCCUCUAUUUCUUCAUUUGUAAAAUGGGGGCAAUAAUACCUAUGUCUUUAGGUUGUUGUGAGAAAUAAAUAGAUACAAGUAUACUUCAACAAAUGUUGCCCUUUCCCUUGCCUAUCUUUCUUCCCUAAGGUCAAACAGCUACUUCACUGAAGUUCCUUACUGCUAACCAACAAGUCCUCCACUACUAACUUAAAGGUUCGCAAUUUGAGCCCACCCAGAGACACCUCAGAAGAAAGGCCUGGUGAUUUGUUUCUGAAAGGUCACAACCACAAAAACCCUAUGGAGCACAGUUCUGCUCUGUGCACAUGGAAUCGCCAUGAAUUCAAAUCGCCUCAAGGGCAACUUUUUUUUAAAAUACUAACCAAAGUACCAGCUUCAUGGCAACCCAGGCAAAUUAAAUGUAAUACUUUUUUUUUUUUUAACAAGCAAAAGGAGAGGUAGAAUGUUGGGAAUAUGUUGCUAAAUGAAUUUAAAUGUAGACUUUUUUUACUAGAUGAAUAAUUAGACACAUAUCCCUUGUACCGUGGCAUGCUUGUGACCAUGGUUAACUCUAACAGGACCUUAAGUUCAUUAUCUCUUUUUAAAAAGUUAUUUUAGGUGGGAGAGAGAAGGAGCUUGAAAAUUGGACAUACCUAAUGUUGGAAAGGAAGACAGUGGUUUUGGGAAUGUUGGAAAGGAAGACAACUCUAAUUACACUAUUAAAUUCCAGGAUUUUUAUCAAAGCAGGAUCAUAAAUCAGCCCCUUAAUUCCUGGGGACAAAGGUGAGAGAAGGGGGGGAGUGCAGAAGGCUCUGACUGGGUGUUUACUGCUCUGCACAUAGUAGGUGGUCAAUAAAAGCUGGUGAUAGAUUGAGGCUGUUUAGAGAGUCCAGGUCUAGUUUGACCUUUGCUGCUAACUUCUUGGCAAAUGUGGUGCAAGACAUCGUGUUGGAGGGAAAAGAACAUUUGACUAGGCACUGAAGGCCUGUGUUCAAGUUCCAUCUAUACCACUUAACAGUCUGGCAGCCCUGGAUGUGACACUUAAUCUCUUAAGAGUCUUCUCACCUGUGAAAUGAGGAGACUGAACUAGGUGAUUUAGAAGGUCCUUUUCAGCUCUUGAGGUUCUGGGACUCUAAGUAACUUCAUUCGCUUAUGUUUACAUUUCAUUUACAGGGAUAGAAACCUGUCUUACAGGGCAUUGGUAAGAAACGGUCAGUCUGCAUGUUGAAAUGCCCUGCAUCUCUAGAGAAAGGAAGAAAACGCAGUGGCCCAAAGCAGUGUAGCAGAGUGGAACAUUCUGCUACAGAGCGGACUGGUGAGUCUGUCUCCAAGCUCUCGAGUUCCAGCCACUUAGUAGCUGUGUGAUAUAUGUCAAGUUCCCUGAUGUGUUUCAGUCUCAGUUUGCAUAUCUUUAAACUGGGGACUGUAAGUUGUGAAAAUGCUUUGAAAAUCUGCAAUACACUAUAUAAACAAAGUAUUAUUGAGAAAUGGCAUGCAAAUAAUUUACUUGUUACAGUUUUAUCUAAGUUUUGUACCAUGUUUCCUAGUAUUUUCAAAUGAAUGGUUGUAUCACCUUAGUCCCAGAGGAGAGAUUCACUUUCCACUCCAAUUUACGGACAGAGGUGAUGUUAAGUCACAACGGGCAUUACUAAAAAGCCUACCAAAGCUACCGCCCAGUCAGCCUCGCAGCUUUUGAGGGCCUCAAACCUGGGUCUCCCACGUGGAAGGUGAGACUUCUAUCACUGAACCACCACUACCCUCCACCAUAGACAUCAAGUAGUUACCCCAAUGUUCCACAGUCUAGGGAUUUUUUUUUCCAGAGACCAGACACCAGCUGGUGGAAGCUUUAAUUCUCCAAAAGAUAGCAUCUUGCCGCUUCGGGUGUGUAUGUCAGGAGUAGGGAGGCUAUGGAGUUAGUUUUCUGAGAGUUUUGAAAGUUCCAGUAUUCCAAGGCAAUAAUAACAAAUGUGUAAAGUGUUGGAAUGCAGAACCUGAGAUGGCCUUUCAUCCUCCCACCUGCCAGGGAUUGCUACUCUGGGGAGAAAUGGCCUUGCUCACCCAGGGCCUUCUUAGCUCGAAGUUCAAAGUAAGAUCCCAGCCUGUAAACCGGAUCUCCCAGCCUCAGCUUCCUCUUUGGCUACAUGCAUGGCAACAUGCCAUACCCAGUUGGUGACUGAAAAGUCUCCCCCUUCUGUGCAGAGGGCACAAACAGCCCCCACUGUUAGCUGUGACCCCACACCCAGGGCAUCUCCCAUCAGCUCCUGCGAAUAAAGCAUUGCCCUCUGCCAGGCCACCACCACCACCACCAGAGGAGCAGAAUGGAGUUGGGGCUAUGCAGCAGAAAUCAAUUUCUGGUUUAUCUUGUGGGGGCUGGGGAGACGAUCUGGAAUUUGUCUAUAGAAGGAGCUUAGGGGUACUGAUCUGUUUGGAAUGGGCAGCUAGGGGGCUUGUCUUGGAGCUGCAUUUCAUAAGGUGCACACUGUUUUUUAAGAUGUAUAUGUGCAUGGUUAAAAAUAGCAAAGUUGUUUCAAAUUUAAUUAUUCUUAUAAAUUCUUAUAGAUCAUUUUUAUUUGGGUUGAUUUGGGGAUGAAAGUUAUGAGUUUUAAGGGUCAGCCCCCUCAUGGCCCUGCCACUGUUAACCCUCACCAUUAAUCUCAUCAACUUUUUAUGAUUUCCACUUUUUAAGCACACAUAUCCAUUGAUUCAAUACAUCCAUUGCCUUUCUUCCAAAGAACUGAUUGACUUUAGAGCAGGUUAAUUUUGUUUAGUUUUUGAUAGUCCCCUCCUUCCCCCAUCCACUACACACACACGUCAGAGUUAUAAAGUCAUUUUACAGGAGAAAUUGAAGGAGAGGCGUGAAGCGACGCGCUCCAGCCACAGAGCGGCAGCGCUGGGUACCGAGUCAGGUUUCCUUCCAGGCUCUGGCGGCUCGCAGCCUAAUUGCCCGGACAGACUUACGGAGCUAAAAUUCCUGGGCAGUGUGGGGGUUCAGCUGAAUUGCCAGCUCUUUGUUUCUUCUGUCAUAGGUCGACUCCUUGGGACGGAUCUGAGAACCAAGGCUGGUGGCGUGUGCUCGCGCGCUGCCGACCCUCACCCCCUCACGCCUCUGCCAGCCCUGUGUGCACGUAUGUGUCCAGUGAAAAAACCCUAGUACGACACUACAUCCUUUCUCCCACAAAUAAAGCCCUCCAAGGAUGAUCUCAUGGCUGCAGACUAGCCCCUCGCAAGCCAACUCGACUCCCGCGGGCGCUCGGUUCUCCAGCUCCGCGUCUCCCCCUUCUCACCGCUUAUUUUUCAGCCGUGCUCUCGCUUCUGCGCAGCUUGCUCUAGGUGACGGUUCCAGGGAGAGGCCUAGUCUGGGGAAGGAGUGCUGAAGAGGAGUCCCGAGGUUUGGGCUGAGUAGCGGGGUACCGAGGAGAACGCUGACGCCAGGGGGCCAGGUCACGUCCUAGCGGGUCCCAGCUUCCUCCCCACGCCCACCUCCUCAGCCCGGGAGUCCCCGGGGGCGUGCGCAGGGAGGGGGUGUGCAGACGCGGGCGUGUCUGUGAGCUGGAAGCGGCUUUGACAUUGAACACUAGCUCCGGUGUGUGCGUGUGUGUGCGUGCGUGUGUACACGCGCGUAUCUGCGUGUGUGAGAGUCGUGGGGAGGGGGCCGGGCUAGAAGCUGCAGCAAACCACAGCCCUUCUUGGUGCAGCGCAGAGCGCGCUCCCGAACCGCCACCCGCACGGGCUGUGAGCUCUGAAGCCAUUCAUGAUUUUGGUGACGUUAUUCCAGAAGUGGGCGAGGGAAGGCGGGGCUUCCAGGGGACAAGCCCCGCCUCCACCACUAUAAAUACUGCUUCGCCGGCUCUUUGUGGGGCCGGGAGCUCGGUGGAGAGUUGUGUUCUCUGUCUGCUCUGCAGACGCCGCUGGCUGUGGGGUUGUCGCGGGAAGGCGGACUGGCGAACGUCCAGUGCCCGCACUCGGCCGCCUGCCUACCUCCCUGUCUGCCGUGCGUCUUUCUGCGCCCGUGUCAUCCUUGCUUGGGACGCGGUGACCGUUUUUAAAUCACAAAGGCGUGGGUCAGCCUCCCCUAGGACUUCAUGUCUGUAUAUUUCCCCAUUCACUGGUGAGUAUCCUGCGCCCUUGGUGGAUGUCCGUCUCGCGGCCGUGGGUGCCUGUCCCGGCGGGCGCCUACUCGAGCCGGCUCAGGGUGCGAGCGAAGCCGGCGGCGCCGACGCCCAACGCUAACCCGCAGCCCGAGCCGGUGCAGGAGUCAAUGUCAAGGUUGCAACGGUGGGGGUGGGGGAAGUGGUGCUAAGAACAUCCAGACAAAGGAAGUGAACUUGGAGCCCUCACCCGAGUGACGGCCGGAGGAUGUGAAUGUGGGGUGGGAGGGUGGAUGGAGAACCAGAGGUCACGCCGGAAGCCCCGCCGUAAGUCCCCUAAUGCGGAGGGCUGCCAGAGGCGCGCGCCCUGCCUGCUUUGGGGGCCCUUGCUCUCCCCCGGCCCCUCCCCUUUUUCUUUUUGUUUGCAAGCAAGUCUCGACGUCCAGGCCGGUGGAGCUGGUGCAGCAGCGCCGUUUGCAGAGCUUCAGGGGGUGGGGAAAGAAGCGAUCUCACACAUAAAGCCACUAGCGGCAGGGUACACGCUGCCCUCUUUCGACCCCUUCCCUCUCCAUAGUCCUAAAAAAAAAAAAAAAAAAAAAAAUCGAGUCGUCUUUGCAGGGGGCCUAAAGAGAAGUCGCCCUCGCAGUGCCGGGCUGGAAGGAGCCUGGGCCGGGCGGGGGCGGCGGAGGCUUGUAUCCCGCCUGGGGAUCCGGACCGAGAGCGAUGCGCCGCGGGCGCGGCUCUAGACGCGGAGCAAGGCCCCCGCGCCGGGGAAAAGAAGGAGCGGCCCGGGGCGAGCGCUGGCAGCCCCGGAGCGCGCUUCCAGGUGAGGGGGUGGACAACCCAGCCCCGGCGGGAGAGGCAGGCGCCGAGCGAGAGGCAAGCAUCCGCGCGAUCUUGCUCAGGCCCGCAACCGGAAAGUUCACUGUUUCUCACCUCAGCUCUUCGGGUCCGCACCACAGCCCGAAGCGAGGAGACAGCGCCCUUACACCAGGCGAGGAGCCUGGCGAGCGCCCCGUGGUGGCUCCUCUGGCCCAUUUCUUUGGGAGCCGAAGGUAGAUUUUGCAUGACUCGGGAAGAAACUCCCGUUCCCGCCACCCCUGUGGUGUGUGAGAGGCCAGAUGACCUGUGGGUGAGGUUUUGAAGACUGCUGGAGGUGUCUAUGCCCCUGGCCACUCAAAGUCGGCCAAGGGUAGACAGAUGCCCAUCAGUGUAUUAUCCCCUGAGAAAUUGAGGGUUAGGAUUAUUUUAUAGCUGAUUAAUACUUCCUAGUUAGUAACUCCCCCCCCCCCAGGUAUUAACUAUUAUACAUAAUGGUGAGGUAAGCAUCAUCAGCAUCAUAGUAACAGAGGAACAGGACACCUGUGGCUCAGAGAGGUUCUAUGACUUGUUCAAGAUAACACAGUCGUUAGUGGCAGAGCCUAGACUAGAACACAUUGCUUGUUUCCAGUCCAGUGACAUUUCUACUCUAUGUAGUAACAAAAUGAAGAGGAGUCUGGUGCACCUGUUUCCCUCUAAAGCCUGGUCCUCAUUUUUUUUUUUUUAAUUCAUGUGUAAAGGUAUGAUGGUGGAAAUACUAGGUGUUGUGUAGAGGGUCCGUGGACUUUGGUGUGUACUAUUUGGUAUUAUGCGUACAGGACCCUGUGUGGGCUCAUGGCUUGUGUAAGGAUGUGGGAGGAUAAUGGAACGUUUGUAUCCUGCUUAUAGAAUACAAAGCACUUUCACAUGUCAGCCAUUGGUGGACCAGCUUGGCCCCUCUGGAAAUUUCCUUUGCAAUCGGAGCCCUGGUAUCCCUAAGGGUUUUAAUCCAGGGGAUGUUUCUCAAGCUGUGAGUUUGCAGCUGCUGUGGCUGGAGCUGGAGAAUGGGGUUGGAUGGCACAUGUGAAGCCUGCAGAGGUGACCCUUUGGGUUUAAGUGGGACAUUUUUGCAAAGAAGAGCACCAGAGAAAUAGGGAAAAAUGUAGGAGGACAGCGUGAUUGGACUUGAUUCCCUGAGGUUGACCUGUUACUGUUAUUAUAUAAUAAUAAUAUGUGUGUUAUUAUUUGAUAAUAAUAUGCAGUUCGUCUUUGGACAAAAUUCAUGUGAGGAUAAUUUUUUUUUUUUAUCUUUUAUCCAGGAGGGAUACAGGGAGACUUGGUUGAAUUGGUUUCAAUUUAGACAGAUGGAUUCAGCUACUUACUUUUUUUUUUUUUCUAGUUCUGUCAUUUAUAAAGAAAAUCCGGAGUUGCUUCUGUGCUUCUAGAAGCAGAAGCAGUGGGUUCUAAUCUGAUGGAUAAAUAGGAGAGGAGAGGAGCAGAGGUUUGCUAGAGAGAUUUUCAGACAAUGGCCUUUGUUGGUUGAGGUUGAAAACCCGGACCUGUGGGCUUAUGAGGCACUUUUUCAGGUUAUGAGCUUGUUUUUCUGCGAGUUCUGUUUUGAACACUUCUCAUCCUGUCUCCAGACAGUCCCCUGAUCUAACAACAACGGAUGUACUGAGAGUGGGAACGUGAAAUUGCGUGUCUUUGUUGACAUUUGGUCUGGGUUUCUUGGCAGCCCUGACUAUCUGAGAUCUGCUGAAAUGACUGAGGUGAUGAUGAACACCCCAUCCAUGGAGGAGAUUGGACUCAACCCCCGAAAGGGUGGCCUUUCCUAUCAGUAUUGCCUUUCAGUUCCUCUCCGUGAGUGAAGUGAGAGCUGGCCGACAAUCAGCUUUUACGCUAGAGCAAAAAGUCUGCUGACUGAUUCCUCAUCUCCGGAUGCUCAACCUCAACCCCAGAAUUCUCUGCUCUGAGGCCUCCUGUGUUGAACGGUCAACCGAACAUCCUGCAUUCACCUGGACAGUCCUGCUUUCAUUGUCCUUAUGUGGACCAUCUAUACCUGUGAUGUCCAGUGACACCACACGUGGUUAUGUAAAGUUAUGGUAAAUUCGUAUUUAUUUAUAUUAUCUAUAUUUUUAUUAACAAAAAUUAAAUGAAAUGUAAAAGUUUAGCCACAUUUCAACUGCUCAAUAGCUACAUGUGGCUAGUGGCUGCUGCAUUGGACAGCGUGAAUGAAGAACAUUUCCAUCAUUGCAGAAAGUUCUAUUGAACAGUGCUGAUCUGUAAAUAGCCAAUAAUUUCAGGGUUUCGGCAGCAACCUACAUCUCACAGAUGUUUCUGUCACCUAGAAGGUCCUAAAGGUUUUCUUAACCUUUCAAGGGAAUCCAUUGGAGGUCCUGAAACAUUGGAACCUGUUGGGAUUAGAGGCUACUUGGCAAAGGAUGCCUCUGAGGAAGUGUCCCCUGUAAAACUCACCGUUACCAAGUUCGAAUGUCUACUAUCCCUAAACAGUGGGACCUGGGCUGUUCUUAAUUGUGUGAUCUCUGACUUCAUUUUGUUUGUGAAGGAGGGAACUUGGUGUUCUUUUCAGAGGCAGCCACAGUUUCACCCAGGCCAUCAGCCCUGACACCUGGGUCUGAGAGCUGGCUGUGGAGUACAGUGUUGGCAGCAAGAGGGAAGGUGCAGGGCUGAGAGAAUCCCAGCUAGAAAAGGAUGCUUCUAGAUAUGCCCGUCCCUGGGGCUGAGGGUGGGAAAUGCCUCUCAGAGCUUCCCCAUCUUCUUUUCCGGUCCUCUCUUACUUGGAGAGGAACCUUUAUUGCAGAGGGAAGGGAAAGGGUUAUUGACUUGCCUCAGUCCAGAGAGAAGGGGCACUUUGGGGUAAGAAGUUUAACCAGAAGCAGUUUCUUUUUGGAACAGGGGCAGCUCUUUAUUCCCUGCCGGUUCCUGCAGGCAAACAGCACUGCAGGCUGGCCUGCCACUUCAGCUCUACCUGUCAUGUGCUUGGCGAGUCCAACCUGAGGCCUUUUUUCCACUGCCUUCUCCACCCUGUCAAUUGCAGUUUGCAACCUCUCAUUUUUCUGCUGCCUAGAUGAUUAAACAGCACUGAGUACUGAGUUAGAUGAUUAAAAAGCAUGACUUAGUGGAAAAAUCUUGACCUCCCUAGGGUCAGCCUCUUAAGCAGCUGUUGGAGAUAAGAUUGUGUUGGCAAAAUACUCAACACUUAGCAAAGCUUUCUGUCUGUAAGGAAAUGAGACGCUGUUUGGUUCUGGGUGCUUUUUUGUUUUUUGGAGGGAGCUGCAGUUUUCAGAAGCAUAAAUUGGUAUAAUCUGAUAAUAAGAUAAAAUCUCUGAUGGAAGGGUUAGGUGAAUUAUUAUAGUGAUUUUUAAAAAUACAAUUAACAGGCUUUGUAGUUUUUGUUUUCGUUUUUUUAAUGGUACCUGCUUUGAGCAACUCAGGGAGCAAAGUUCUCUGGCAACUAAGCAGUAUCAAUGCUCAGACUUCCCCAAGGACUUGAAAGACUUAAUUGCGCAGCUCCUGAUAUAAAAGGCAUUGUUUGCAGUUUUUUUUUUGCAGUUUUUUUAAUUACUGUGUUGGUAUUAUUGCCUCUUCCUUGGAGAUUGGAUACUUACUGUAGCCCUGUUGAAAUUGCUCCAAAGAAGACUUUACAAUUUGGAUUUAGCAUAUGUCAUCAAAGCACUUUACCAUCUUUGUGUUUGCCAAGAGUUGUACCCAUCUAGUGAGACAAGAAAGUUUUACUUCACUUCUCAAAAGGAGAACCUAAGGCAUGGGGGCGCUGAGGGGACUUGAUUGGGGAUAUAUAAAUGAUAUAAAGGACAUAAUCAGAAUCUGGGCUCUGUGGCUUCGCCCAGUAUGUUACCAAUGGAACACCUCAUUUGAAUUCCUUCAGGGCUGUGUUUGAAUCCUAGUUCAGCCAAUUCCUAGCUGUGUGGCCUUGAGCAAGUCACUUGCCCUUUCUGUGCUUCAGUUUCCUCAUCUUUAAAAUAGGGGUAAUACUGCUAGAUACUUCAUAGGAUUAUUGGGAAGAUUAAUGGAGAUUCUGCUCAGGAAAUGUGCCUGGCAUAUCAUCAUUAUGUUAAUUUUCCCCCUAAUUUUAGUUGUAGAACUAUUUCCAACUUGAAGCAAAAUCAGGUGCUCUCUACCCACUCCCUCUUCUGCUGGCCUUGCCCGCCUUCUGUCCCCUUUGCUCUUCCUUGGCUUGGGUGAUCAUAAUUAGAGCCCGGUGGCCACCUCUCCCAGCUGAGGAGACAUGGCCAUGUCUUAGGGGAUGCCUAGCCCUGGGAUUGACUUAUGAGGUCAGGAGGUAGAGGAUUAGGGCUCAGGGUCUGAGCUUGAUAUUUCACAGCAGUCUCAGGUCCUAAAGGUUUAGAACAACUGUCCAGACUGGGAAGUCCAUUUUAUGGACCUGGCUGUCCAGACGGUCAUCCCAGAGCCUGACCUGGGGCCUCCAGCACCUGAAUGGGCAGUCAAGGCCGAGUCCUGCUUGCUUUCCCUGAUCAGUUUUUCCAUCUGUGAAGUGGGGGUGUUGGCAUAGUGACACCGUAGUUAAUUUUCCAAAAGGCACAGGUGCUGGAAACAGUAGGUCCAAGUUCAAAUCCUGGAGUCACAGUGUCUUACUGCUCCUUGGAAGUUGGAAGCCUAAACAAGGUGUCUGAAAGGUCUUUGUACACAGUAGCAUACCCUCCAUUCUUUGGGGUUCCCCUGGCUCCCUCCCAAAGCUCAUGCUAGUCAUACAUUUGUGCCCUCACCACCAGGGAGGGGCUCCAAGCUCCACAUGAGGAACAGUGAGGAAGGGCCAAAAGGAGUUACCUGACUCCCUCCACCUUAGCACACACAGGCCUAUGUGCGCAGGAGAGUCAGAGGGCAACAUUUCAGGGUUGGCGGGUCAUGAAGAGUGCCUUGAGUUCGGGUCAGCUGCCCAUAGCCCCUUUGACUCACUCUAGUACAGCUCCUCCCUGUUUUGUUUUUCUCCUGGCUGCCAUUACGAUACCUUUUAUGGGACUUACUAAGUCUUUAAUUAUGCCUAGUUGUGCAGAUGGCUUAAGACUUAAUCCCCAGCAAUAGAUCUUUAUUGGAUAAGUGGGUAAUAAUCACUUGUCUGGAGGGAUUGGGAAGGCUUCAUUGAGGUUCAUGAUACGCAGAAGUACCACAUGGUUGUGACGUGAUCAGAGCAUGACUUGGCUGGGGCAAUACUGGUUGAGGUUGGGAAGGCCGGAGUUCAUACGAGAGCUUUCUUCUACCUCCUGGGCACAGGAUACCUAGCUGCCGCCAUGUGCCUGACUGGACCCAGGCCAGGAACAGGCAGCCCCCAGUAUCUCUGCAAAUGUAAAUCUCUGUCCGGUGUAGUUUUUGCUUUCCUUUUUUUUUUUUCUUUUGCUAUUAGCAAGGCCCAUUGGGCCUUGAUUCCUCAUCUAUCAAGCGGAGAGGUUGGAAGAGGUAGCCUUGAAGGCAGAUGGCCCAAGGUGCUGUGUGAGCUCCUCUCACAGCUCUCCAGCAUGUUACCUAGUGCUGUGAAUGGCAAGGGACCAACAGCCACUGGAUUAAGUACUUAAGCUAGUGAAGAAUUGGGUCAGCUGUAGUCACAGGAUGGUGUGUGCAAAGGGAAUCCACAGACUUGACCCUUGAUUUUAUGGCCUGGCCGAGGCUUCUGCCAGCUCUGGGCAAGGCAUACAGUAGGCAUAGAAAAUGAAGCCUGUUAAUGGGACUCUGGAAAGAGAAGUAGACUUGGAUACAGAUUCAUCAAGGUAGUCAGGGGUUGUUCACAUAUAAUAAAGGAGCCUUGGAUUUAGUUUCCAGCUUGCCAGAGACUGGGGCCAUGCCCUUAAUCCCAGUUUGGCUUUUAGAGUUGCUUUGGGAUCAGGACUACUUGAGGGGCAGGGUGGUAUUGGGGCAUGGGCUUAGGAAUCACACAGACCUGGGUUUGAAUCUCAUUCCACCCUCACUCAUUUAUAGGUUGUAUGAUCUUGGACAGAGCCCUGGUGGCAUAGUGGUUAAGAGCUACACCUCAUAACCAAAAGGUCAGCAGUUCGAAUCCACCAGCUGCUCCUUGGAAACCCUAUCGGGCAGUUAUACUUUGUCCUACAGGGUCGCUAUGAGUUGGAAUUGACUUGAUGGCAGUGGAUAUGGUCUUACAACCUAAUUCUCCAACCUUGCAAUUCUUUAAGAUGAUGUUGGCAGUACCUAUUUUUCAGCAUGGCUGCCUUGGUUCAAAAUUAUAUUUGUAGAGCACCUGGUGCCCUGCUCACACUAGGUGCCAGUGAUUAUUCUGGGAGGAAUUUAAUACCUUGGUGCCUAUUGUAUACUUUGGACCAUUGGAGUAAAAUGCUGGCUGCAAAUAAACUAAGAAACCAAACCCACUGCCAUUAUUGAUGCUGUUGAUUUCAACUCAUAGCAACCUUAUAAGUCAGAGCAGAACUGCCCCAUCAGGUUUCCAAGGCUGUAAAUCUUUAUGGAAGCAGACUGCCACACCUUUCUCCCGCAGAGCAGCUGGUGAGUUCAAACUGCUGACCUUUCAGUCGGCAGCAGAGUCGUUUAACCAUUGUGCCACCAGGGCUCCUCCUUGCUGCAAAUAGACAUGACUAACUGUGGAGGACAUGAUUUGGAAUUCUUUUAUCUGAAAGUAAAGCAAAAAGGAUAAAAACAGAGCUAUACCACUUUUUAGACUCAGUGGCACUGCCCCUGGAACUUUCAGCUUCGAGAUUAGAAUCAAAGUCUGGCCCAGAAUUUGCUCAUGAGCGUUAGACAGAAGGCCACUGCUUCAUGCCCCACAGAAUCCUGAGGACUGAGCACAGCUCCUGACACAUGACAGGCGCUCAGUACUCCACGUUUAUGUGAAACAAAAGAACUGAAUUUGUCUUUCCAAAUGUGUGAGUCCCUGGGCGAUGCAAACAGUUAAUGCACUUGACCGCUAACCAAAAGGUUGGUGGUUUGAGUCCACCCAGAGAAGCCUUGGAAGAAAGGCCUGGCGAUCUACUUCUGAAAAAUCAGCCAUUGAAAACCCUGUGGAGCACAGUUCUACUCUGGUACACAUGGGGUCGCCAUGAGUAGGAGUUGACGCCACAGCAACUGGCUUUUUUCCUAAAUGUUUACUUGACCAGGGCUCCCUGUGCUUUUA